AUAUGCCUGCCCUUCCGUUGGGCCAGGGUGCUUUUCCGGCAUCGAGCCCGGGAAUGGACAGUCACAGGCUUGCGGAUGAUCAGCCCAUCUUUGAUCAGCUUCCUGAUCUGCUGUCGGGAGUUGGCAUUGACGAUUUCAUUGGUCUCAUUGGGAUCCAACCAGACCUUCUUUUUCCCCCCGCAGCGGAGGACACUAGAGGCAAGCCUCUUCUGUAGCCUGAGCAUACUCAUGGCUGCGGCCACAGCAGCGAAAGGCCUGAUCUUUAUUCUUUAAUCUUCUUUAUUUAUAUGCAUUGUCUGUUUUAUAGUUUUGUAUCCUAAGGGAGAAACCAAGAUGAUCAAGUUCUGGUUUUGUUCCUUCUGAAUGUUUAUUGUGUUAAAAAUGUUUCAAAUUUUAUUUUCUUUUCUUUUAAAUAAGGCCUUAGUAUAUUACCCCUUUUGGCCUAAAACUCACAAUGUAGGCCAGACUGGUCUUGAAUACUUACCUGAUCCUCCUGAGGUAGCUUCCAAAAUACUGGGAUCACAGUCCCUCAUCCCUAUACUUGGUCUCAUUUGGUUUCAUUCUAAAUUCAAUGAUUGCUUAGAAUUGUGUUGUUCAAGGAACUAUGAGAUUUAUAUAUACUACACAUGUAAGAAUGUAUUAUCUAACCAGUUGUGGUGGCACACAGCUUUAAUCCCAGCACUCAGGAGACAGAGGCAGGUGGAUCCCUGUAAGAAGGCCAGCCUGGUCUACAGAGCAAGUUCCAGGGUUAUACAAAGAUAUCCUGUCUCAAAAAUGGAAAAUAAAUAAAUCAAAAGAACAUGUUAUCUAAACUCAUUGUUUUUAUAAUAAUUUUCAUUUAGUCUUUGAAAGUUUCAUACAUUAAUACGAAAUACCUUUUGGCAGUAGAGACAAAAUUUUACAAAUCUCAGGCCACAUUCCACCACAUAGGGAAGUCAGAGAAGGAAAAUAGAGGCAGGAACUGGAGCAGAAGCCAUAGAAGUGUGCUGUUUGUGGGCUUGUUCCUAAUGGCUUGUUUAGCUGCUUUCGGAAAAAAUCCAGGACCACCAGCCAGGGAGGCACCACCCACAAUGGGCUGGACCCUACUUCCAUCAAUCAUCAAUCAAGAAAAUGCCCCAGAGACUAGCCAAUCCUAUGGAGGCAUUUUCUCUAUCAAAAUUCCCUCUUCCUAGAUGACUCUACCUUGUGUCAAGUUGACUUAAAAGUAGCCAGCACACAUCUCCAAGCAUGGCUCAGUGUAAUAGUAACUCUUAUUUGCCUGUUGUAAUUGUCAUCUCCAAGGCUUACUGCCUCCAUCUGCUAACAUAGGCCUAGUCCUGGUAGCUUCCAGACUCUGUACAAUCUAAACUAGGCCACAAUGUUUUCAGCCUCUGAGACUUGCUGCUGAAUAAGCUCACCCUUUCUAGUACUUUCCGAUUUCUGGCUAGCUAGUUCAACUCAGCUACUCUGGCUCAAACUCCUCUCUGACUCAGUCUGGCUUCUCUGGGUUUCUCCUGAGUUGCUCUGCUUGGCCUCAAACUAACUCUGGGAAUCUGUGCUAAUCUUCUGCUCCUUCCGGCUCAUUCUGUCCUCACCUGUGUCUAGCUUGCUCUCUGUUCUCUCCCUGUAACCUAUCUCCGUACAACUGCCCUGGUAAAACUGUCUCCUUCUCUGCACUGCCCCUUAGGUAGCUUACCUUUCCUCUCUUUUCUCAUGAGAGUUGGACUUACUCUAUUCUGGCAAGUAUUUCACUGAUUUAUCACUUUGACACUCGAUUAGACAUCAUUUUCAAAUACGGUGUUUUCUUGUGCCAGUGUUUGGAGCACGUGUUUGAGAUUGUAAUGCCUUCUUGGUUAAUUGUUUCCUUCUUUUUCUCAUCUUAUUAAGUGUGACUUGAAGUUUAUUUUGUCAGAAAUUAGGAUAGCAACAUCAUCUUGCUUCCUGGUUCCAUUUGCUCUGAAUGUAUUUUCCAUAGUUUCGCUCCAAUAUGCUGCAUGUCUUUAAAGCUAAAAAUGAGCUUCCUAUAGACAACACACAGGACCCUGUUUCUUAACCCAUUUGUCUAACCUCUUUUUGGAUUGGGAGUUGAGGCCAUUAUUAUUUAAAGUCAUUAAAAGAUGUGUAUUGAUUGUUGUCAUCUUAUUUAUUUUUUUAUCUGUUUGUGUUCUUAGUCCUAUUUUGUUUUCAGUAAUUAUAGCUUCUUGGCUAUGUUUAUUCCUCUCUUCAAUCCAAAAUAUUGCUUCCAGUCUUCUCUGAAGGGCUGGUUUAGUGGACAAGAAUUCUUUUAGCUUGUUGGUAUAAUGGAACAUUUUUUUCUUUCUCCUUUCACCAUGGCAACUACUGCUGUGUAAAGUAUUCUGCAUUAGCAUCUUUGAUGUUUUAGAAUUUGGAGUGCAUUACUCUAUCUCUUCUGAUUUAUACAGAUUUCACUGAGAAGUCAGCUGUAUUCUGGUGGAUUUGCCUUCAUAUGUUACUGUGAGUUUUCUCUUCCAGCUUGUAAUAACCUUUCCUCAAUCUAUAUAUUUGGUGUUUUAACUAUAUAACUUGGGGGGGGGGUUCUUUUCUAGUCCCACCUAGUUGGUGUUCUUUGUGUUUCCUAUAUAGGCACUGAAUGUGUCUUUCCUUAGACUGGGGACAUUUUCUUCCUAUUUCUUAUUAAAUGAUUAACUUGUUGACAGUCUAUGCCUUUGAUCCUUCCUCUGUGCCUAUAGUUCACAGAUUUGGUGAUUUAUGGUGUCCCAAAGUUCUUGACUAUUUCGAGUAUUAAAAGAUGUAUUUGACUACGUGGUCCAGCCCUCUCCUUUAUUGCCAAGCCCUGAUAUUCCCUGUUCUAAUUGAUCUGUUCUACUGUCAAGGCCCUGACUUUUUCCAUUGGGUUACUGAAUUUUCUCAUUCUGUAUUCAACUCAGCCAUAGUUUUCUUCAGUUUUUCUCUUCUUUGGAUUCAUUUGUUUUCAAAUGCUAAACUGGCUUUAUCUGCUGUGUCCAAGCAUGGCUCCAAUAAUGAACCUGUCUC
rnacentral:lncRNA from 1 species